rnacentral:tRNA from 2 species
GGCCCCGUCAUCUAGAGGCCCAGGAUACGGCCCUUUCAAGGCUGUUACGCGGGUUCGAAUCCCGCCGGGGUCA